GUGGAGGAAAACAACUUGGAUUUGAACAGUUGCUGUGAAUAACACCAUAAACUGAAGAGACAUGAGCCUAGAAGGGGUAGCAAGUGGCUUUCGGAGGACUUCUCUCAUUUGUCUGGGUGCUGCAAGUUCUGGGUAGCAAAGUUACACUAUAUCACUUUCUUCUCUGGCACAUUUUAUUGUUCUGAAGAGAAAGGAAAGACUGCUGGAAAUGAGGUAAAUAAACUUUCUCCUCCCUGGUGUAGUACACAAACAAUUUUUUUCUUUGCCGUAUGGACCUAACUGCUAAUUUUCUUAAAGCCUCCUCUGCCCUUUCCCUUUUGUAACAAACUGGGUAUAUAAAUCUCUAACUUUAGCCUUCUAGCUAACUGGACAAUGUUUAAUGUGUGUUCAUUUGUUUGUUUUUCUAGUUUCCAACCACUCCAUUGUAAAUCUGCCUUUCCCCUGUUGAAUUUGUAGUUUCCCAUCACUGAACGUCUUAAUGCCAACUGAGGUUAAAUACCACACGGGUUGGAUGCAAGUUAUAGAACAAAUAUGAUGGUAAUAAAUUGGAAGUUUCCCCCUUAUGGGCUAGAUCCUGCAGUAUUAGAUAAUGCUGUGUAAGCUGUUUUAGGGUCAAGGGAUUGACAGCUACACCCAGCUAUGAAUUCCAUGAACCACAAUACUGACCAAACAAUCAUGACCAAAGAGGUUUUUCACUCUGGAAAGGAACCCCAGAGAACUGCUUAGCUGAAAUGGUGGAGCGUAAGAUGUCCCCUAAUGGUCUAUAUUUGUACCCCUUCAUCUAUUGCAAUCCUUAAAAAGAUCAACCUUCUAUUUCAUCGAAUGUAGGUAUAGGCAAAGACCCAGAGCUGAACAAGACUGUGAGAAUGAAGGACAGUGCUGGGUUCCAUCUACACAAAGGUCUUAUAUUAAUUAACACCUUACAUCUAAGAUAGCAUUCACAGAAGAGAGUAUUGGAAGGAAUACUAUAAAAUCUGAACAGUGGGGAGAAGGUUUGCAAAGUACAAUCUUAUAAGCAUAAAACAGCCGUGGAAACCAUUAACACAUAGCAACUAUGUAAACAGGCAUUAGUUCCACAGAAGUCAGGAUUCUGAAAGUCACCUACAGAAGAGGAAUGAAUGCAUUGACCAUACAAUGUACUGCUGAUCUAUAGAUUGGGGAUUUCUCUGUGUAGUCCUGCCUGUCCUGAAGCUCCCUCUGUAGAACAGUAUCGCGUGCUUAGUUGGUACAGUUAGAUCAGUGACAGCUAUGAAAGGAAGAGGUCUGAAGACGGGCUCAAUCAAACCACAAAACCAGGCAAGUGGAAAAUUGCAUUUUGUGGCUGUGAGUUAGGUAAGCUGUUACUCGCAUAUGUAUGCACAUAUUUAUUUUCUACGUUUACUCGUUUAGAGGCCCUCACUUCUUUCUUACCAUCCCAG